UACGUAGGGUGCGAGCGUUAAUCGGAAUUACUGGGCGUAAAGCGUGCGCAGGCGGUUCUGUAAGCCAGAUGUGAAAUCCCCGGGCUUAACCUGGGAAUGGCAUUUGGGACUGCAAGGCUUGAGUGCGGCAGAGGAGACUGGAAUUCCUGGUGUAGCAGUGAAAUGCGUAGAUAUCAGGAGGAAUACCGAUGGCGAAGGCAGGUCUCUGGGCUGACACUGACGCUCAUGCACGAAAGCGUGGGGAGCAAACAGG
rnacentral:rRNA from 1 species